AACGAACGCUGGCGGCGCGCCUAACACAUGCAAGUCGGACGCACUCGCAAGAGUGAGUGGCGGACGGGUGAGUAACACGUGGGAACCUGCCCUGGGGUCUGGGAUAGCUGCGGGAAACUGCAGGUAACACCGGAUACGCACGGGAGUGGAAAGUUUACGCCCUGGGAUGGGCCCGCGUCGGAUUAGGUAGUUGGUGGGGUAACGGCCUACCAAGCCUGCGAUCCGUAACCGGUCUGAGAGGAUGAUCGGUCACACUGGGACUGAGACACGGCCCAGACUCCUACGGGAGGCAGCAGUGGGGAAUCUUGGACAAUGGGGGCAACCCUGAUCCAGCGACGCCGCGUGGGUGAUGAAGGCCUUCGGGUCGUAAAGCCCUUUUGCCGGGGAAGAUGAUGACGGUACCCGGAGAAGAAGCACCGGCUAACUCUGUGC
rnacentral:rRNA from 1 species